UACGUAGGGUGCAAGCGUUGUCUGGAAUUAUUGGGCGUAAAGAGCUCGUAGGCGGUUUGUCGCGUCGGAUGUGAAAACCCGGGGCUCAACCCCGGGACUGCAUUCGAUACGGGCAGACUAGAGUUCGGUAGGGGAGACUGGAAUUCCUGGUGUAGCGGUGAAAUGCGCAGAUAUCAGGAGGAACACCGGUGGCGAAGGCGGGACUCUGGGCCGGUACUGACGCUGAGGAGCGAAAGCGUGGGGAGCGAACAGG
rnacentral:rRNA from 1 species